AGAGUUUGAUCAUGGCUCAGAUUGAACGCUGGCGGCAUGCCUUACACAUGCAAGUCGAACGGCAGCACGGGGGCAACCCUGGUGGCGAGUGGCGAACGGGUGAGUAAUACAUCGGAACGUGUCCUGUAGUGGGGGAUAGCCCGGCGAAAGCCGGAUUAAUACCGCAUACGAUCUAUGGAUGAAAGCGGGGGAUCUUCGGACCUCGUGCUAUAGGGGCGGCCGAUGGCAGAUUAGCUAGUUGGUGGGGUAAAGGCCCACCAAGGCGACGAUCUGUAGCUGGUCUGAGAGGACGACCAGCCACACUGGGACUGAGACACGGCCCAGACUCCUACGGGAGGCAGCAGUGGGGAAUUUUGGACAAUGGGGGCAACCCUGAUCCAGCAAUGCCGCGUGUGUGAAGAAGGCCUUCGGGUUGUAAAGCACUUUUGUCCGGAAAGAAAUCCUAGAGGCUAAUAUCCUGUGGGGAUGACGGUACCGGAAGAAUAAGCACCGGCUAACUACGUGCCAGCAGCCGCGGUAAUACGUAGGGUGCGAGCGUUAAUCGGAAUUACUGGGCGUAAAGCGUGCGCAGGCGGUUCGCUAAGACCGAUGUGAAAUCCCCGGGCUUAACCUGGGAACUGCAUUGGUGACUGGCGGGCUAGAGUAUGGCAGAGGGGGGUAGAAUUCCACGUAGCAGUGAAAUGCGUAGAGAUGUGGAGGAAUACCGAUGGCGAAGGCAGCCCCCUGGGCCAAUACUGACGCUCAUGCACGAAAGCGUGGGGAGCAAACAGGAUUAGAUACCCCCGUAGUCC
rnacentral:rRNA from 1 species